ensembl:snRNA U6 U6 spliceosomal RNA
GUGCUAGCUUCAGCAGCACAUAUACUAAAAUUGGAAAGAUAUAGAGAAGAUCAGCAUGGCCCCUGCGCAAGGAUGACACACAAAUUCAUGAAGCGUUCCAUAUUAAA